AUUGAACGCUGGCGGCAGGCCUAACACAUGCAAGUCGAACGAGUGGCGGACGGGUGAGUAAUGGCUGGGAAACUGCCUGAUGGAGGGGGAUAACUACUGGAAACGGUAGCUAAUACCGCAUACCAUCAGAUGUGCCCAGAUGGGAUUGGCUAGGGGGUGGGGUAACGGCUCACAAAGGCUACGUUCCCUAGCUGGCGUGAGAGGAUGACCGGCCAUACUGGAAUGGAGAAACGGGCCGAAUGCCUCGGGGAGGCAGAGGUGGGGAAUAUUGCAAAAUGGGCGAAAGCCUGAUGAAGCCAUGCCGCGUGUAUGAAGAAGUCUUUCGGGUUGUAAAGUACUUUCAGCGGGGAGGCGUUACCCGACGAAGAAGCACCGGCUAACUCCGUGUCAGCCGCCGCGGUAAUUC
rnacentral:rRNA from 1 species